UGCUAUCACUCUUGGGACGGGACCCUGCGGUGCAUUUAGCUAGUUGGUAGGGUAACGGGCCUACCAAGGCGAUGAUGCAUAGCCCGAGUUGAGAGACUGAUCGGGCCACAUUGGGGACUGAGACACGGGCCCAAAACUCCUACGGGGAGGCAGCAGUAGGGAAUCUUCCACAAUGGACGCAAGUCUGAUGGAGCAACGCCGCGUGAGUGAAGAAGGGUUUCGGCUACGUAAAGCUCUGUUGUUGGUGAAGAAGGACAGGGGUAGUAACUGACCUUUGUUUGACGGUAAUCAAUUAGAAGUCACGGCUAACUACGUGCCAGCAGCCGCGGUAAU
rnacentral:rRNA from 1 species